AGAGUUUGAUCAUGGCUCAGAACGAACGCUGGCGGCAUGCCUAACACAUGCAAGUCGAACGAGACCUUCGGGUCUAGCGGCGCACGGGUGCGUAACGCGUGGGAACCUGCCUUAGGUUCGGAAUAACUCAGAGAAAUUUGAGCUAAUACCGGAUAAUGUCUUCGGACCAAAGAUUUAUCGCCUUUAGAUGGGCCCGCGUUGGAUUAGCUAGUUGGUGGGGUAAAGGUCUACCAAGGCGACGAUCCAUAGCUGGUCUGAGAGGAUGAUCAGCCACACUGGGACUGAGACACGGCCCAGACUCCUACGGGAGGCAGCAGUGGGGAAUAUUGGACAAUGGGCGCAAGCCUGAUCCAGCCAUGCCGCGUGAGUGAAGAAGGCCUUAGGGUUGUAAAACUCUUUCGCCGGUGAAGAUAAUGACGGUAACCGGAGAAGAAGCCCCGGUUAACUUCGUG
rnacentral:rRNA from 1 species